rnacentral:misc_RNA from 1 species
UCAAACUUGGUCAUUUAGAGGAAGUGAAAGUCGUAACAAGGUUUCCGUAAUUGAACCUGCGGAAGGAUCAUUAAAAAAUUUUGAACCAAUUUUAUGGAUCAAAAAAUCCAUAAUCCACCUUGUGUGCACCUAUUGAUUUUUGGGAGAUGGCCUUCAGAUUUUUGAAGUCAUCUCCCAGAGGGUUAAUCUAAAUACACAAUUUUUUUUUUUGACUUAAAAUUUUAUAUGCAAAAAUAAUAAUAAACAACUUUCAACAACGGAUCUCUUGGCUCUCGCAUCGAUGAAGAACGCAGC